AACGCUCUCUUCUCCCGUGUCAUUCCUUGUGUGUGGUUAAGCUCCAAUAAAAUAAAUCUACAAAAUUAAGUAGUUUUAUUCCAAGAUAUAAUAUAGGCGACGAGGUCACUCGGACAGCACGCUGCAUCGACUAAAUUAACCAGGAGAACAUAAAAUUGGUCACAAGUAAGAAAUUAAUUACUAUAAAUAUAUGUGAUGUAAUGGCCGUGGCAAACGCACUUUGAGGUAUCUGCAAAUUAAAAGGUACCUUGAUAAAUCGUUAUUACCCACAUUCAUGGACCGACUAAACGUGAAAUGAAACGUUAUUAUGACAGAUGUCACGACGGGUAAGAAUGAAAAUCAAUUGACAUUGACAGAAGACGCUGACAAUGUUUUAAUAUAUUUGGUUAAACAAGGAAAAAGAAGUUACAUUUACCGGUGUGGAAAAGACAUUUUAAUAAAGAUAGUAAAUGAAGAAGGUUUACAGUGCCCGCAAAAUCCAACGGUGGACGCGUUACGAAAGUUGUUAAGUGAUUACUACCAAAAUAAAGAGCAAACCCAACCUAAAAUUUCAAAACACAAGACCAUGACAAACUACGAAAUAAAACCAUUUAACGGAGACAAUUGGGAGGUCUGCGAACAACAGUUAGAAUCUCUAAUACUCUUAAAUGAUGUGCCAGAAGAUAAAAAAGUGGCAUUGCUUAUUACUAAAAUAACCCCAAAUGUGUUUGAAACAUUACAAAUUUUGUGCAAGACAAAAAAAACAAUAACAUUAACUUACAAAAAGUUAGGCGACACGCUACGAGAAAAAUAUAAACUUACUAAGACACCAUUGUUAGACAGAGCUGAGUUUCGACGACGCAACCAACUACCUACUGAGUCAAUAGAAGAGUAUGUGUUAAAUCUCCGGAAAUUAUCUCGGACAUGCCAAUUCAAAGACGAAGACGACCAGAUUAAAGAAAAACUUGUUGACAGAGUGUACUCUAAGCUAAUUAAAUUUGAACUGAUGAAACAAAGUGCGCAGGCAAAAUUAGAAGACCUUAUAAACCUAGCAAAAACAGUAGAGUCCGCAUAUAAGCAAGCUAAUGGAGAAGAAGAAACUAGCAAUAUUUCAUAUGUUAAACCUAAUUCCAAAAUGCCAAGACAGAGGUAUGACAAAAAUACAAAGAAGAAUAACAACAUCAAAAAUAAAUGCUUCUGCUGCGGGAAGGACAAUCACGUCAAAAAAGAUUGUACCCUGAAGACAAAGUUUUGCUCGGAAUGUGGUCAGCAAGGUCAUAUAUAUAAAAUGUGCCCAAAGAAGUAUCGACAGACAAACAUUUUGGAUGUAUCGAAAGAAGAAAACAAAGGGGAACAA